rnacentral:lncRNA from 1 species
CCUUCCUUAGACCAAUUUUUCUCCUUGAUCUCUAUAGCUUUUAUGCAGGCUUCAUUGAUGUCUUCAAUUUUCAAAAACUUUAUGUUCUUCGAAUACUCUAUGGUGACUUUCGAUGUACUUCAUGAGGACCAUAUGAUCAUUGAUAGAGAUCCCAAGUAAACUUGCUUGCUUGGUGUAAUCUUGGAUAGUUUGAUUAUACUUUUGCCUCAGGUAUUAUCACUUGAUCCAUUGAUCCUUCUCAUGGC